UNCAAUAAUGACAGUGAUGUAGGCAACUGC
rnacentral:piRNA from 1 species